rnacentral:rRNA from 1 species
CUUUCAACAACGGAUCUCUUGGCUCUCGCAUCGAUGAAGAACGCAGCGAGAUGCGAUAAGUAAUGUGAAUUGCAGAAUUCAGUGAAUCAUCGAAUCUUUGAACGCAGCUUGCACCCUUUGGCAUCCUGAAGGGUAUGCUCGUUUGAGUGUCAUU